CCAUUAGCCAAGGCGACGGAGGAAGCCAUUGGUCCUUCUUUAUGAAUCCACCUCAUCAUCUGGUUCACUCUAUUGGUCAUCCUCUGGGGACACGUUGUAAUCAUCAUCUUCUCUCAUGACAAAAGAUGUGUAGGUGAAUAUACUUCAAGAACGAGUUGAUCGGCUUAAAGAACAAUUUCUUCGUGAUAUUAACGACUAGGACG